CCUACGGGAGGCAGCAGUGGGGGAUAUUGCACAAUGGGGGAAACCCUGAUGCAGCGACGCCGCGUGGGUGAAGAAGUAUUUCGGUAUGUAAAGCCCUAUCAGCAGGGAAGAAAGAAGACGGUACCUGACUAAGAAGCCCCGGCUAACUACGUGCCAGCAGCCGCGGUAAUACGUAGGGGGCGAGCGUUAUCCGGGUUCACUGGGUGUAAAGGGAGCGUAGACGGCCGUGCAAGCCAGGAGUGAAAGCCCGGGGCCCAACCCCGGGACUGCUCUUGGAACUGUGCGGCUGGAGUGCGGGAGGGGCAGGCGGAAUUCCUGGUGUAGCGGUGAAAUGCGUAGAUAUCAGGAGGAACACCGGCGGCGAAGGCGGCCUGCUGGACCGCGACUGACGUUGAGGCUCGAAAGCGUGGGGAGCGAACAGGAUUAGAUACCCGAGUAGUC
rnacentral:rRNA from 1 species